GCCGCGGUGGUUCAGUGGUAGAAUACUCGCCUGCCACGCGGGUGGCCCGGGUUCGAUUCCCGGUCGACGCA
rnacentral:tRNA from 1 species